rnacentral:rRNA from 1 species
GGAGGGCAAGUCAUGGUGCCAGCAGCCGCGGUAAUUCCAGCUCCAAUA